AGCUUUGCGCAGUGGCAGUAUCGCAGCCAAUGACGUUUAUCUGAGGCGCGAUUGUAGCCAAUUAAAAAAAAAAGAUACAAACUAC
rnacentral:snRNA from 1 species